rnacentral:rRNA from 1 species
AGCUUUCGAUUGGCUCAGAUUGAACGCUGGCGGGAUGCUUUACACAUGCAAGUCGAACGGCAGCACGGACUUCGGUCUGGUGGCGAGUGGCGAACGGGUGAGUAAUGUAUCGGAACGUGCCUAGUAGCGGGGAUAACUACGCGAAAGCGUAGCCAAUACCGCAUACGCCCUUCGGGGGAAAGCGGGGACCUUCGGGCCUCGCACUAUUAGAGCGCCGAUAUCGAUUAGCUAGUUGGUGGGGUAACGGCUCACCAAGGCGACGAUCCGUAGCUGGUUUGAGAGGACGACCAGCCACACUGGGGACUGAGACACGGCCCAGACUCCUACGGGAGGCAGCAGUGGGGGAAUUUUGGACAAUGGGGAAACUCCUGAUCCAGCCAUCCCGCGUGCAGUGAUACCCUGCUUGUAAAGCACUUUUGGCAGUGAAAGAAACGGCACGGGAUAAUACCCCGUGCAACUGACGGUACCUGCAGAAUAAGCACCGGCUAACUACGUGCCAGCAGCCGCGGUAAUACGUAGGGUGCAAGCGUUAAUCGGAAUUACUGGGCGUAAGCGUGCGCAGGCGGUUCGGAAAGAAAGAUGUGAAAUCCCAGAGCUUAACUUUGGAACUGCAUUUUUAACUACCGAGCUAAGUGUGUCAGAGGGAGGUGGAAUUCCGUGUAGCAGUGGAAUGCGUAGAUAUGCGGAGGAACACCGAUGGCGAAGGCAGCCUCCUGGGAUAACACUGACGCUCAUGCACGAAAGCGUGGGGAGCAAACAGGAUUAGAUAAUUCUGGUAGUCCACGCCUCAAACGAUGUCAAUCUUGCUGUUGGGGCCUUGCCCGUGGCGCAGCUAACGUGCUGACCGCCUGGGGAGUACGGUCGCAAGAUUAAAACCCGUGCGAAUUGACGGGGACCGCGUACAAGCGGUGGAAGAUGUGGAUUAACUGAUGCAACGCGAAAACCUUACCUACCCUUGACAUGUCUGGAAUCCCGAAGAGAUUUGGGAGUGCUCGCAAGAGAACCGAACACAGGUGCUGCAUGGCUGUCGUCAGCUCGUGUCGUGAGAUGUUGGGUUAAGUCCCGGCAACGAGCGCAACCCUUGUCGCUGGUUGUUACGAAAAGGGCACUUUAAUGAGACUGCCGGUGACAACCGAGGAAGGUGGGGAUGACGUCAAGUCCUCAUGGCCCUUAUGCGGCUUCGCUAACGCUCAUGCGAAGGGACGUAUGAGGUCGCCAACCCGCGAGGGGGAGCCAAUCCCAGAAACCCGAUCGUAGUCCGGAUCGCAGUCUGCAACUCUCGACUGCGUGAAGUCGGAAUCGCUAGUACUGCGAUCAGCAUGUCGCGGUGAAUACACCUCGGUCUGUAAGACACCCGCCCGUCACACCAUGGGAGUGGGUUUUACCAGAAGUAGUUAGCCUAACCGUAAGGAGGGCGAUUACCACGGUAGGAUUCAUGACUGGGGUGAAGUCGUAACAAGGUAACCCC